rnacentral:tRNA from 1 species
CAUUGAAUGGCUGAAAAGAAAGCACUGGUCUCUUAAACCAUCUUAUAGUAAACGAAUACUUUCAGUG